rnacentral:lncRNA from 1 species
AUGUUCCAUCUCCUUGGAGAGUUUGGAUUUAGAUCCAAAUUGACCUCCAAUGUCUUCUACAAUUAUAGCUCGCAGCCCCUCAUUCUGUCUCUGCUGAUAAAUCACCAAAAGCAAAAUAAUCCGGUUUCCAAGGUAAGUGAAUUGAGAGUUCAAUCCAAUCCAAGUCCCGGGCAGGGUCACCUGUUCACCCUGCACAUUAAUGAUGCACACUCAUUAGAUUCUCCAUCUCAAAAUUGGCAGUGAUGUCUCCAUUCAGAUCCAUUUUUGCCGAACAGAUAAAGCGUGUACAGUACCACUCAACCUUUCUGCACUUCACUGCUCGGAGAGUGGCAAAGACAAUCUUCAACAAGUACAGCACCAUAAAAUACAGAUCUGGAGGCUUUUACCUCUGCGGACCCACUUAGGAAUGCAUGAGGUACUCCAUACUGCAGAUGAAUUCAAAGGACAGCAGCUCGAACAGCAACGAAUGCAGGAGUGCUUCUGUUGAUGUGUGUGGAGGCGGUUUCUUGAUACUGGUUUAUUGCUCCUCUGGAGGAGUUUAAAGCCCCUUUGCAUAAAAAAAACAACAACAUUGCAUGGCAUCUUGAAGACUUAUUCAAAUUCAACCCACCUCAGCACAUUUGUCUUCAUGAUUUGGUUUCCAUGAUGAAGAUCACUUUGACUCUUUCUGUUGUUUUCACCAUUAAAUAGAGAUUGAAGGCGUUUUUGCUUUAAAGUGCCUCGAAACACUCGCUGCCGUUUUCCCAGAAGCAAUCUAAAUGUGCCACUGCAAGUCCAAUUAAAUCCAAUGUGUACAUACAUUUCACCGUGGCAUCACUCAGAAACCUGCCUAUAACCAUUGCAUUGAACCUAUCACGAGCUUAGACAGUCAUAGAUAAGGAAAAGUGGCUGUGUGCUUUAGGCCUUUAGCUGAGAACAAGAGAAGUUGAGUGUUCGCUGCAGUAUAAUAAACCUUAACAGUGGCUUUCAUGGUCUGGAAGAUUCUUAGAAAGUUUGACAUUCAAAUCUAUUUCUUCUUUCCCAGUGACAUACUGAGAGGCUGGUUGAAACCCCUGCACUUAUCACCAAAAUGUCAGCUCCUAGAGAAGACAAAUUGCUUGAAUUUAGGCUUGUAAAC